rnacentral:rRNA from 1 species
GGGAAUAUUGCACAAUGGGCGGAAGCCUGAUGCAGCAACGCCGCGUGCGGGAUGACGGCCUUCGGGUUGUAAACCGCUUUCGCCUGUGACGAAGCGUGAGUGACGGUAAUGGGUAAAGAAGCACCGGCUAACUACGUGCCAGCAGCCGCGGUAAUACGUAGGUGGCAAGCGUUGUCCGGAAUUAUUGGGCGUAAAGGGCUCGCAGGCGGUUUCUUAAGUCUGAUGUG